AACUACUUAAAUUAGAAUGCAUGCACCCUCAUUAAAGUCUUUUAUCUUGUUUCUCGAUUUUUGCGUAUUUUCGAUUAUUCGGCGGCCGCCCAAGGCGUCGUGUGUGACGCCGGUCGGCCCUUCGCGUCUCCCGUUUAACAUUUUAUCUGAGAAUUAAUUGAUUAGCUCCAAGCUAAAAUUCCUUAAAUAAAUUCUAACUUCAUGUGAUUAAAUCUCGGCCCCAAAACGAUUUUAUUGACCUUUCCUCCACUCUCUUUUAAAACAUUUCCAGCCCAAUUAUUAAUUCCAUCAAGUGGCCCAACAAUUAAUUAAUGUAUAUCUCAUACUCCAUGGAUAGGCCCAUUCUUGAUGAAUUUCUUUGGCCCAAAAACUAAAAUGAAUCCACUAUUUUAAUGGCCCAAUUCCAAUUAAUUAAGAAGGCAUAAAGCCUAUACUCCUUAUCACCACCAAACCCGUCGGUUUCUCCCUCUCUGCCAAAUCCCCAAAUUUGAUUUUAUCCAAUUUCUCUUCCAAAUCCCUAAUUGAACAUACAGCAGCAUAUCCCCUUUCUCCUUCCUCAUCUCUCUUCUCUUCUCUCUUCACCGUCGCGCCGCCAUCCUCACCGUCUUUCUCCCGUUCCGCCGCCGCCACCGCUGUGCACGCACAGCCGUCCCGGAAGUCCGCUGGUCUGCACGCUCCGUCCCUCUCUCUCCCAGUCGGCCUCUCUCUCUCGGUCGGUCUCUCUCUCUCCCUCGAUUCGCCGCACCGCCACCGCCGCUGCGGAUCCGCCGCCGUCGCACAGAGCCGCAGCCGCUGCUGCUGGACGCCGACGCCGCCGCUGCUCUCCGCACGCUGCUGUACCGUUGAGAAGCGCCGCUGCUCCGUCGCCCGUCACCACUACCGUCACCUCGCCAUUCUCCGAUAGAUUUGUAAAGGGGUGAAAUCCGUGAUGGAUUUGGGGUGUGGGGCUGCCACGACGGUGUGCCGAAACUCAGUAUCCGGAAUUCCGGCAGAUUCGUGUUCUUGAGAUAAGUUGUUAUCUUGGGCUUACUAUAGUUGUAGAACUUGAGUUCUCUAUUUUAUGAAUUCUAUGAAUUUGAACAAUUGUCCUGCUACUAAAAGACUUGAUGGUGAAACAUGAUAUAAAACUUGCUGUGUAUUCUUGAUUUCUGAUUUGGGCAGAUUUUAAUUUCUCUUUAGAUAUGCAUAUGCUUAUACGUAUGUGCAAGAAAAGAAAGGUUUGGGAUUUACCUUGGAAUAAAGGUGUGGUUGGAUUGUAGUGUUUGAGUGUGCAAUCUCCCCCCCUCGGAACUCCUCUACCCUUUGUGGGUUGGGGUGUGCAAAAUUAAGAUUUAUGAGGGUGAUGUGUGUGAGUGAUGAUUUGCAGAUAUACAUGUACAUAUACAUAUACAUAAAAAGAUGCAAGUGGAGCUUAUCUUAAAAAAAAAUUAUGCAAGUGGCGUGGGUAGCAAGUUGUGCAACAAGUUGCUAACAUUCUUAUCCCAUCUUUCUUCUUCUUUUAUUUUAUUUUAUUUAAUUAUUUAAGUAUUAUAUUUAUUUACUUAUUUGUUUAAUUUGGUGUAGGAAAAACCCAGUUUAAGCUCGUGGCUUUGGUGUAGGAAAACAAUUAACAUCCAUAGUCUUCCCUGAUGAUGUACCGGACUUUCUUGGAGUACGAGCACGACCGUUGAACGGGUUGCGUGAACUUUUCCCUAAUUGUAAUAGAUAAGGAUUUGAUAAAUUUGUAUAAUAGUAAUUUAGCGGACUUCGGAGAUAUGUCGGACAUUAUAAAUUUUUAUUUGGUGUUACUUUUUUUUUACUUGAAA